GUCGAAUCAUAAUUAGUUCAAACUGAAUACGGCAUUCAUCUGCAAUAAUACGUUAAUCAUAGAAAAGCAGGAAAAUGAAAUUCAUUAAUAUUGCAUUAGGUGUGAUAUAUAUUGCUGUAUGCAUCCUUGCAUUAGGUAGUAGCAACACAGAAGCAGCUAAAGUUUCUUCUCGUGGAAAUACUAUGCCAAUUGGCUAAAGUUAAUUGAGCUACCACCAUGUGUGUGUACAAAUGGAUCCGUGAAUUAUGGUUUCAAAAUUAAUAAAAGAAACAAAUUUCAAUUAAUAAUAAAAAUGUAUUAUUCAUUUCUGUAAAACUAUAACACAAUAAAUUAUUUAAAAUUAAUAUAA